AGUGAACGCUGGCGGUAGGCCUAACACACGCAAGUCGAACGGCAGCACAGUAAGAGCUUGCUCUUACGGGUGGCGAGUGGCGGACGGGUGAGGAAUACAUCGGAAUCUACUUUUUCGUGGGGGAUAACGUAGGGAAACUUACGCUAAUACCGCAUACGACCUACGGGUGAAAGCAGGGGAUCUUCGGACCUUGCGCGAUUGAAUGAGCCGAUGUCGGAUUAGCUAGUUGGCGGGGUAAAGGCCCACCAAGGCGACGAUCCGUAGCUGGUCUGAGAGGAUGAUCAGCCACACUGGAGCUGAGACACGGUCCAGACUCCUACGGGAGGCAGCAGUGGGGAAUAUUGGACAAUGGGCGCAAGCCUGAUCCAGCCAUACCGCGUGGGUGAAGAAGGCCUUCGGGUUGUAAAGCCCUUUUGUUGGGAAAGAAAAGCAGCAGGUUAAUACCCCGCUGUUCUGACGGUACCCAAAGAAUAAGCACCGGCUAACUUCGUG
rnacentral:rRNA from 1 species